CCCAGACCAGGGACCGGCCCAUCAAGCCAAAUAGAAACCACCUGAAAGCACUUAUUGUGGCGGGGCCGGAGUCCCUUUAUCAACAUCCGGGUCACAAAGCCACUUCCUCUUUGCUUCCUCCACCGGCUGCUGCUGCUCUCCUGUCGGCUGGCUUGGCAGAAAAACAUUUGAGCUACACUCCACCAUAAACCACCAUCACUUACCGGUAAACAGCCCAUAACCCUGCUCUUCGGUCAGGUUUUUUUUUUCCUCUCCAUUCUGUUCUCUCUUCUGGACUAGCAUCCAUCACUUGGUGACACGGAUGACAAGGCGAGCUACCCAAGAACUCUGAACAAGAGAGCACACGACAACACGAAAGGUCUCACUCGACCCGAAAAGUCAGAACUUUACAACACAGCGGAACUCUGGACGUUUGUCCCCUCUUUUCCUCCUCUAGGAAGUUUAUGAAUGUUUGUUGUCCUGUUUGUCUUUUUUGGUGUUCAAUACAAUCAAUUGAUUAUUCUA